rnacentral:rRNA from 1 species
CCGGUAAAUAGGGAGGCGUAGCGAAAGCGAGUCUGAUAAGGGCGCUUUAGUUGCAGGCGUAAGACCGAAACCAGAUGAUCUAUCCAUGGCCAGGAUGAAGGUGCCGUAACAGGUACUGGAGGUCCGAACCCACUAAUGUUGAAAAAUUAGGGGAUGAGCUGUGGAUAGGGGUGAAAGGCUAAACAAAUCUGGAAAUAGCUGGUUCUCCCCGAAAGCUAUUUAGGUAGCGCCUCAUGUAUCACUCGCGGGGGUAGAGCACUGUAAUGGUUGGAGGGGUCAUUGCGAUCUACUCCGCCAUAGCAAACUCCGAAUACCGCGAAGUGCGAGCAUGGGAGACAGACGGUGGGUGCUAACGUCCAUCGUCAAGAGGGAAACAACCCAGACCGCCAGCUAAGGUCCCCAAGCCAUGGUUAAGUGGAAAACGAAGUGGGAAGGCAUAGACAGUCAGGAAGUUGGCUUAGAAGCAGCCAUCCUUUAAAGAAAGCGUAAUAGCUCACUGAUCGAGUCGUCCUGCGCGGAAGAUGUAACGGGGC